GGAGAGAUGGCUGAGUGGACGAAAGCGCCCGCCUCGAAAGCGGGUGUGCCCGCAAGGGCACCGGGGGUUCGAAUCCCUCUCUCUCCGCCA
rnacentral:tRNA from 1 species